GUGCUCACUUCGGCAGCACAUAUACUAAAACAUAUAUACUGGAACAAUACAGAGAUUAGCAUGGCCCCUGAGCAAGGAUAACAUGCAAGUUCGUGAAGUGUUCCAUAUUUUU